rnacentral:rRNA from 1 species
UACGUAGGGUGCGAGCGUUACUCGGGAUUACUGGGCGUAAAGCGUGCGCAGGCGGUUUUGUAAGUCAGAUGUGAAAUCCCCGGGCUUAACCUGGGAAUGGCAUUUGGGACUGCAAGGCUGGAGUGCGGCAGAGGAGACUGGAAUUCCUGGUGUAGCAGUGAAAUGCGUAGAUAUCAGGAGGAAUACCGAUGGCGAAGGCAGGUCUCUGGGCUGACACUGACGCUCAUGCACGAAAGCGUGGGGAGCAAACAGG